AGGUUGAUUUUGACAAACCAAUAUCAUGAAGAGAGGUGAUGACAUAAAAAUCAUGCUCAAUAGGAUUAUGCUGAGGCCA
ensembl:snoRNA SNORD115 Small nucleolar RNA SNORD115